rnacentral:rRNA from 1 species
AAUCCAUAGGUUAAUGAGGCGAACCGGGGGAACUGAAACAUCUAAGUACCCCGAGGAAAAGAAAUCAACCGAGAUUCCCCCAGUAGCGGCGAGCGAACGGGGAGGAGCCCAGAGCCUGAAUCAGCAUGUGUGUUAGUGGAAGCGUCUGGAAAGGCGCGCGAUACAGGGUGACAGCCCCGUACACAAAAGCGCAUGUGCUGUGAGCUCGAUGAGUAGGGCGGGACACGUGGUAUCCUGUCUGAAUAUGGGGGGACCAUCCUCCAAGGCUAAAUACUCCUGACUGACCGAUAGUGAACCAGUACCGUGAGGGAAAGGCGAAAAGAACCCCGGCGAGGGGAGUGAAAAAGAACCUGAAACCGUGUACGUACAAGCAGUGGGAGCACCCUUUGGGUGUGACUGCGUACCUUUUGUAUAAUGGGUCAGCGACUUAUAUUCUGUAGCAAGGUUAACCGAAUAGGGGAGCCGGAGGGAAACCGAGUCUUAAUUGGGCGUUAAGUUGCAGGGUAUAGACCCGAAACCCGGUGAUCUAGCCAUGGGC